UCAUAGAGUCAUGACUGAAGAUUGAAGACUGUCAUUUAAAAUUUGAGUCUUAGGAGUUAGGGUAGUGGACUGUGCAUUUGGAAACUUAGGUUGUAAUUUUUAAUUGUAGUAAUCGUUUCAGAUGUUUCAAUUUUAAGUUCUUGGUUAAGGGAUUGGUAAGGAUGCGUCCUAUAUGUUACUUUUCCUGUUGUUAUCUUUUGCAAUGAAUUAGGCGACGUACAGCCUUAGUGGCGAGUAUUAUAACGGCCGUUGAGUGUCGUCUGAAUUCUUGAAAAUAUAGUAGUUAAGUGAUAAUUGUGAUUGAUGAUUGAUUAUUAGUGAUUUAAUGUAUUUUUUAUUUUCUUUAGAAAAAAACUUUCGAUUUUUCUCGUUAAAACUUAUUCCAUAUGCCACGCGACAAAAUUUUCCGUUUCUUCCGUCCCUGUACAUCUACUUUUUGUUUCUCAUUAGGGUUUCUAUUCGUCGAAAAUAACAAAUAACUGUUGUAAUUGUGCCUAAGAAAUACCCACAAUCGUUUCGUUUUUUGUUUAUGGUUAUUAAUGGAAAGUAUAAUGGUUUUGAUGGUCUUAUUACAUUCUUGUUAAAUUAAAUAUCUAUCCCUUAUAUGUAUUAAUAUAUAUAUAUAUUGGUCUGCAUAUAAAUGUGGAGUGUUGCAGUGUAUCUGUUAGGUUUGUUUCUUAUGUUAAAGUCCUAUAUUUGGAUCAACUUCCUGUGGUUCUUUUACAAGUGGUAAAAGUGGUGUGGUUUCUCUAAGUUUCUAAUAUGUUGUACCAAUUUCAAAUUCCAUUGUGUUAAAACACAUACAUUUCUUAACAGUAUUUCCUCUAGUCAAGAUCUUUUUGAUACACAAAGAUAAGUAAAACGAUUCUUGAAGUCAGUGAAUGUGUACUCACUGAUCUAAGUUGUUUCAUAAAAUCUUAAUAUUUAAACAUGAUAGUUAUGUGUGAAAGUUACCUAAGAAAUGUUUAGUCUUGACGUAUACAAAAUCUGCUUUAUUCAAUGUCCUAUUGGUUAUUUCUUAAUAAUUUGUUUACUCUGUUUUUUAAAUUCAACUUUAGUCCCUACGAUUUUAUUUGAAAAUGUCUGGGUACUUACAAAUACACCUGUAAUUAGUACAAUUUAUGUGCAAACUUAUCUAUGUUCAUUCUGUUAUAUCAGUAUGGUCAAUUCAUGUUAAUGUUAUAUUCACAUGUUUGAUUUAUUACUUUUAGUUUUUGUUGUUGUGAUUCGGAAGAUUGUUGUUUGUUUUAACUUAAAAAUAUUGAAAUUUAUUGGUUUCUUUUUUAACAUAUAUUAUGAAUGAUUUUAUUUAUUUAACAGUUUUUUAGUUUUACUGACAAUUCAAAUCUCAAUUACUGUGUAGUAUAAAGUCCAUUAAUAAGAUUUAUAUUUGGAGGGUUCCUAUUAACUAAUUUUUUUUUAAAUUUAUUAUACUCUUUGUUUUGUAAGGUUCCAUGUCUUGAUAGUAGUAUUGUUUGUCAGUCAUCUUUUUAAUGAGUAUUUUAAAAUCCUCGUCAGUUACUGAAUUAUAAUCUUUUAGGAAUCAAUAAAAACUUGAAUUUUUAAGGAAUUUAAGUAGUAAAAAAUUAAAAUUAAACAAAAAAUCUUAGUAAUCAUAUUUUUAUUUCUUAUUCUUGAAAAUUACAUUUAAAAAUAAUGUUAUUAACAGUUUAACAUACCUAGUCAUAUUAUACAUCAUUCUCAUCUAAUUUUCUCCAUCAUUUGCAGUUGGUCAGCUAAAACGGUUGUUAUAAAAUGACAUAUGCUCUUCCUGAAUGCUAUCCUGAACUUGCUUCAAUCAUCAAUUUUUUUAUGGCUUUUUAUUGAUGGGCACUUUCGAAUCAUUCGCUACCAAAGCUGGAUGGAAGUGUAACAGAAUCAAUGUUUCAUUAAAAUAAUGAAUCCAUCAAUUCCUUUCGCUAUAAUAGCACCCUUUCUAUUGGAAACAUACUGAAGAGUCAUGUAUACCGCAGGUGCUGAUAAACAAUGCAUUAUUUUUAUACUAACUGGGAAAGCCAUCAGAAAAAAGAUAUCACCAGGAUAAAUGUAAAAUGUCAAUUUGUCUGUUUUUAAAUACUCAAUACCAAAAUAGUUAAAAUAAUUGUCGUAAAUUAAAAAUGUUUUGUAUGUGAAGCAAUAGUAGAUUUUGCAUAAAAUCAAUAGCUGCAACAUCAUUUUGUUCCUUACCAAGAUCUUGAUGAAAUCUUGGCUUGUCUUGUCAACUUGUACCAAUUGUUUUCCUGAUAAAAGUUAUAUUAUUUUAUUUUGUUGAUAGUUCUUCAUAUGUUAUGUACAUGUUUUUGGCUCGCUAUAACAAGGGACUGUGUUCAUUUUUAAGUCUCAGACCCAUUAAAUUAUAUAUAUCUUUAUUAACAUACAAAUAAAAUGUAUGCUUAUUAUGCUAAAACUUAGUUUAGGCAACUAAAUAAAUUGCUAGGUAACAGAUUAUUUUUUGAAUAUUGCUUCAUAAUAUUCACCUUAUCCACAGUAGGCAUUCAUGGAUACAUUGACCAUACAUUUUAAAUAUCAGUCUUGCAUAAUAGUCUUUAUCAGUUUUAGUUCAGUAAAAAAAUGAAAAUGCAGCAGCAAUGCUACAGGUUUUAUGGGAUCUCACAUAAGUGACUCGCUUGUUAUUGAAACUUCAUAAAACAAAGCUCUCACUUUGAAAAAGGAUCGAAAGAAUAUAUAAGCCCUGAACAGGUUUCUUCAAAAGGUUUCUUCUUCUUUUGGCUCAGACUUCGUUAGCUUAUCUGCUGUCGAAGAAGCAGUUUACUGAGGUUCGCUUUCGCGUUGCAGCAACUGCAGGUUGUGCAUUUGUACAGUAGUGACCGACGCUGAUUUUGGUGUCUUUGUGUUAAUCUUUAUCAUAGAUGAAGUACCAGGAACAUCUUCUACUCUUGACGUUGGUACUUCUGUUGUUACAUCUGUGAUGUGGAAUUCGUAGUAUUCCAAAAUAAUCUUUUGUUACAAUGCGCGCAGCCAAAGAUGAGACCUGUCAGAUGCUAGUAGAGAGGAUUUCGCGCAUGUACAGUCGCGUUCAAAAUAGGCUGCCAGUCCACCAGAGCGGAGCGAGGCAGCGGAGCCGAGAAACGGACUAAUGCGGAGUGGAGUUGCGUACUGUGACUGUCCACCGGAGCGGAGCGAGGCUGCGGAGCGGAGUGAGGAAGUAAUGCGGAGCGGAGUUGCUGUGUUUUUCAAUAUGCGGAGCUAGGCAGCAAGUACGCGACGAGUGAUUUCGAGCUCCCGGCGUGGGGCGAUUGGUUUAAUUCUACGCGAAAUGUCAGUGAUAGCAGACAUGCCAU